CGAACCUACGGGAGGCAACAGUAGGGAAUCUUCCACAAUGGACGAAAGUCUGAUGGAGCAACGCCGCGUGAGUGAAGAAGGGUUUCGGCUCGUAAAGCUCUGUUGGGAGUGAAGAAAGAUAGAGGUAGUAAAUGGCCUUUAUUUGACGGUAAUUACUUAGAAAGUCACGGCUAACUACGUGCCAGCAGCCGCGGGAAUACGUAGGUGGCAAGCGUUGUUCGGAUUUAUUGGGCGUAAAGCG
rnacentral:rRNA from 1 species